CGUCUAUGGCCAAAUUGGUAAAGGGCAUCGCCGAUCACUCGCGACGAUGCGGGUUUGAGUCCCGCUGGAACGG
rnacentral:tRNA from 1 species